ensembl:lncRNA
CAGCAAAUUCUGUCAUGCCACGGAGAACUACUCCCCUUCAGGAUGCCAUUAAAUACAUCCUUGCAGGAAGAGACAAGAAUUCAAAGUUAGAAAUCAAAUAUAUAAAUCCAGUUAAAGGUCAUGGUAUCUUUAUUUUAGCUGUUUUCAAUCAAGGAGACUUUGUGGUGGAGUAUAGAGGGGAGCUCUUUGAUGCAGGUGAAGCUGAACAUAGACGUAAACUGUACCACAAUGCAUGUUCGAUCUUCAUGUUUGAUUUCAUAUGGAAGCGGAAGACAUGGUGUAUUGAUGGAGCACUUGAAGAUGGGUCAUUUGGGCGACUGGGAAACGAUGAGCACAAGGCACCAAAUUGCAGAAUAAAGUUGAUUGAAGC